AGCCCGAGUUGUAAUUUGUAGAGGAUGCUUCUAGGUAGCGACCGGUCUAAGUUCCUUGGAACAGGACGUCAUAGAGGGUGAGAAUCCCGUAUGUGACUGGCCCGCACCUUCUACGUAGCUCCUUCGACGAGUCGAGUUGUUUGGGAAUGCAGCUCUAAAUGGGAGGUAAAUUUCUUCUAAAGCUAAAUACCGGCCAGAGACCGAUAGCGCACAAGUAGAGUGAUCGAAAGAUGAAAAGCACUUUGGAAAGAGAGUUAAAAAGCACGUGAAAUUGUUGAAAGGGAAGCGCUCACAACCAGACUUCUGGGCGGUGUUCCGCCGGUCUUCUGACCGGUCUACUCACCGUCCCGAGGCCAACAUCAUCUGGGACCGCCGGAUAAGACCUCAGGAAUGUAGCUCCCCUCGGGGAGUGUUAUAGCCUGUGGUGAUGCGG
rnacentral:rRNA from 1 species